rnacentral:lncRNA from 10 species
GGGGAGCCAAGCUGGCUGUGUACAGAUAGCACAUAACCAGAAAGGAAGCAAGAGAUAUCCAGUUGUCCCAGCACAAUUUUUUGAUAAGACUAUUGUUUUCUUUCAUUGAAUUUGUUUGGCAAACUUACCAAAAAUCAAUUGACCGUAAGUAUAAGGAUGGAUUUCUGGACUCUCAAUUGUAUUUCACUGGUGUAUGUCUGUCCUUAUAU